rnacentral:lncRNA from 1 species
CAAGUACCGGCGCACAUGAACUUUACCAAUAUUUAUUGGUUUUUAACAAACAGUGACCGUUAAAUAAUGAUGUAAUACUUUGCAAAUAUCUACUACAAGAAAAAUCCUUUAAUUAGUAUACCACUAAUUUCUGCAUUUGUAUCAAAGCAGUGUGACUCGCAAAUUAUGAAAAAGUAAAUAAAAAUCCAGAGACAAAAUUUUGUAACUGAUCACUAAUCACUGUGACUACUGAUUGUGGGGGCUUUCCUGUGCGUAGCACGGGUUUCCUGCUAGUAAAUUGAUAACUCUAAGUCAUACUUAGUACGAUUGUGUACCAUAGGUCUGAAUCAGUCGAUAUAAACGGUUUGGGUUUGUUACUUUAAUUUAGCGAUAACUCAUGUUACAGAAUUAGUCUUAUACGUUUUAUGCUUAGAAACAAAAUGAACAAAAAUAUUCCAAAGUUUCACUAUUUUGCAAUCUUUACCUAGGUACCUCUUCUUGCAAAAUUACAAGGAUUUUUUCAAGGAUAUCUUAAUUUUUCUAUAAAAUAUUGUUUCGUACAUUUUUGCUCAAAUCAUUCUAUAUCCGUGGUCCUAAUGUGCUCCCGAAAUCCAACUAGGUAAAUUUAUCAUUUGAUCUCCUUUAAUAUACUCUCUUUUUCUUCAACAGGUGUCCUCAUAGAUGAAAAUUAUCAGAUAUGAAUCGGAAAGCAAAUCCGCAGAAAAACUUUCAGUCCCGAUUGAGUUUGUAUUCAGCACGCGAUCUUGCUUAGUGUACCUAUGGCGAGGCCUGAAAAUCAAGCCGGAAAUUACUGAAAGACCCUCCUAUGGAGCAGCGCUAAUAAUUGAACUGCAUGAAAUUAGUGACAAAUAUCGAGUGAAGAUCAUGUACAAGAAGAGUUAUUCUGAUGAGAAUUUAACAGUGCUGAAAAUUGAAGGCUGCGAAGACGGCCAGAACGGAGAGAAUGAUGAAAUGUGUGACAUCACAACGUUUACAUCUGCUUUAAGCGCUGCCGUCAUCGAGGAUUUUGACAAAGCAUGCGAAAUCGCGUAAAUAAACCCUGCUGGCUGCAUCUGGACAUCGAUCAUUAUUAGUAAAAUAAUAAUUCAGUUGUGCAUUUACAUAUUUUUUAAAAAAGAACGAAAAUAAAAAAUAAAGAACUCGGAGGCAAUACUUGAAUAUGCUGAGUGACUCUUCAAAUGUUGAUCAAUCAGAGCACACGAGAAACAUUGUAAGCUUUUUACACCCUAUGGAGUUGACAUUUUCGUUGGACAUUUCUAUUCGAAUGAAAUCACGGUGUCCCCUCCAAUUCUUGCAAAUAGUAAUUUACAAUUCGUCACCCACCUCUCUUUUACUUCGUCUCUUAUUUGACAUUUUACUUGCCUUUUCAUAGACGCCUCCCCCCCCCUCUCUCUCUCAAACCCUCUCCCCCCUCUCCCCCAUCCCCCUCUCACGAUAUGCCAUGAUUAAGUUGACUAUACAAUACAAUCCAUUGUGGUCAUAUCAAUAAGUGGUAUCUCACUAACCAGAAAAGUCACUUCUUAUAAAAAGGCCGACACAUUAUGGUUCUGCUAAAACUUUUAGUUCUAUUUAUAUUAGUGUAUCAACAUCAAUUUCCGGACUACAAAUUCAAACAUUUUAAAUAAUUUGCGGCUUGAAUUAGCUGGAACAACCACCAACAGCUGAAAAUACAGCUGUGAGAAAAUAUUUGUCUGUAAUCGUCAUGUAGCAUUAAGUGACGGUCUCUUUAGGUUGAGGGAGCGUGUGAUUACGUUAAUAAGCAGAAAAUCAUUGAAAAACGAAAAGGUAACCAUUCCAUCCACCACUAGCGACUUAGUUUCACUUCAUCGUCCUAAAAUUGGAUUUUUUAGCCGCUAAAAAGGUACCAACCUGCCAACACAAUCAGCGAUAGAUACCUUUUUAUACGUGCAAUAAUUUCAACAAUCGGAUGUGUAAAAUAUCCAGUAGGUCCCAAUUGUCAAAUAUAAUAGUAUAGUUUAAAGUAUCUUUUACUCCCUGGAGACUUCAGUAAAAAAUGCCUUAGACUUACGAAAAAAGAAGUGUGGCUGUAUCUUAUCUCAAAUUUAAACCUCAUCACUUGAUUUAUCCCCUUAUCUUAAGCCCCACUCUAAAGUGCUAAUUGAGGAAUUAAAUCGAUUAGCUAAGAUUUUUUCUUGCAUACUAAUGAGAAACCGUAGUGUUUAAUACACCCAUGCAGCAAAUGACAACUGCGUGCUUGUCUGGCCGACAACCUCAUGUUCUUACGCAGAGAAUUUUGAAAAGUAUAAUCCUGCCGAACUCUCCUUUCACGUGAUGGAGGUAUAAACUAGGAAUUAAGAGCUUAAAUCGAAAAAGUGAUCACAAUCACUUCUCAAAACGACAGCAUAUUCUUCCAUAACUAUUUUACCUUUUAUGCGUUAAAUGCUGCUUGGGCUCGCGUAGUAAUACAAGCCCGAAUACAGUGCAUCACUUACGGUUACGAAAUGGGUACGACUAAAAGCAGAACUUGCACAAAAUCCCGUAAAAAGGGUGUAUUCUUGGUGGGGUGUUGGUGAUAUCCGUUGCUUCAGCGUGUGUUGGAUUUUACAUUUUGAAGCGCAGUCCCUCGGCUGAGUCAACCUUACGAUUCGUCAGCAUUGUGAGUGAACUUAUUUAUUUGGACGUAUCUCUGCCAAACGGGACUAUGCACAUCAUGACGUGAGCCCUGUCAUGCAUAUAUUCUUGUGAGCCUCAGGGCUCAUGUCGUAAUGCACAUACUUCCGUAUGGCAAAAAUACGUCCAUUUUUAGACCUCUUAAAUUUUAGACUAAAUACUUGGAACCAAAUAAACUUGUCAAAUACUUAUCGAAAUCUGCGCUGUAUCAAAGUUUGAGGAAACUGAACUAUAAUGUAAAUGUGGUAUUCUCUUAUUUUUGAGGAGAACGAGACAGGAAUGAGAUCUGAAAUUAUUUAUAAGUUUAUAUGAACAUCAAAUAUUGACGUAAUUAUUAUUCUGCCGUGCAAGGAAAAACGCCGUAUGAGCCUUCAAACGUUGCCAAGUUUCCUCCGAUAGAUACCGAAUUUAUUGGGAAAAUUGCGAAUAUUAUUUUCCAAAAUUUUCAGACAAUUGUGUACGCAAUUUAAUCUAAAACUUCCGAAAAUUUCAAGGGGAAAUAUGUAUAAAUGUCGUCAAAAAUGCAUGUUUUAUCGAGGGAAAUUUGGCAACUCUCGAAUGUACAUACGGCGUUCUUCUUAGCACGGCAGUAUUGUUCAUAAACUUGAAUGUAGUUCUUAUCUCAACCCAGGAGUAAAUUUUAGGGAUAGGUGUAUACAACUGUGCUGCAAAAAGUGAGGUGAACUGAUUGGAACGAAAAUGCUCUCUCUACUUUUUGAUCAGGAGUGGAAUUGCUUGAAUCAAGCAAGCUCACGUAGGUAUGCUCCAAGCGAUUUUUUUCUUGAUGUAAGCAUAUUUUCCUCUUGAUUUGAGAGACAUUUCUUAUUGAGUUUAAAAUUCAGGAAUAUUUCUGCUGAAAUCAAGUCACUUUUUCUCAGUGAAUAAGUAAACACCGGAAAGUCAACCGCCACUGAUCAACAUAUCGAUGACUAAAAGUGGGAAAUGCGUAUCUUCAUUGCAAGGUCUGAAGGUCUCUGACUAUGUUUUAUUUUUCAUUAUUAUUUUUUUUUUUUAACUACACAAAACUAAUCAAUGAAUUUUCCAAUGAACAUGCUCGAGUGAGUUAAACUAAUCCACUGAAAUUUUUUAGAGAAACUACUGGUUAGUCCAGAAAAAAAAUAAUAAUAAAAUACAAGAACAAAGCAUAAGCAGGGACAGAAGCACUGAAAAUGCGUAUCUUCAUUGCAAGGUCUAAAGGUCUCUGACUAUGUUUUAUUUUUCAUUUUUUUUUAACUAAACAAAACACAUCAAAGAAUUUUUCCAUGAGCUUUCUCGAAUGAGUUAAACGAAUUCACUGCAAUUUUUUAGAGAAACUACUGGUUAGUUCAGAAAAAAAAUAAUAAUAAAAUACAAGAACAAAGCAUAAGCAGGGACAAAAGCACUGAAAUUUCCCCUAAAUUUGUUUUUUAAAAAGCUCUGUGAAAAAGUUGGUCCUUUCAUCAGUGACGUGGCGUGCUUUGCGAUACAUCGAUUGAUCUGCCAUUUACACCUAUGGAAACGAAUCGAUAAACAGGGCGAACACUAAACACCUUAAUAAUCGAUUCUUUACCACAGCUUCAAAUGGGGAAAUAUCGAUAAUCGAUAAUUCACGCUACGCCACUGCCUUUGAUAGAGAGUAAGCACCUCCUACACCUCUUCAUUAGAAGCAUGAUUUUACUUCCAAAUUGAAGUUUCAAAGUUUGUCAACAUCGAACCUUUACGACAAGAAUAUCUGUUUGAUAAAUGCGUUAAAAAACAAAAAUAAAAUGAUUUAUUUAGAAAAAAUCUGAUUUCUUCCCAUUCAGAUUCAUCGGCAUGGAGAACGAUCUGCUGAACAUUCUUACCCUCUUGAUCCGUAUAAAAGCGAAUCAUUUUGGCCGGAGGGGCUCGGUGCUCUCACAAAGGUAAAUUUUAAUUAAUUCCUCUACCAAUUAAGCAUGUGUGAGGGCGAGCAAGGGAGUGCGUGAGGGUAUUAAUGAAGAAUAAAGAACACCUACAAAAUCAGCUUG